AUGGAGAUGGGUAUAUAUAUUGACUUCAUUGUUCUAAAAACUUAUUAAAAUGAGUAUAUAUAUUGACGUCUUCAACAAGAAGAAUACUUUGGAGCUCCCAAAUUCAUGAAGAUUAGAAACCUGAAUGGGCAUUUUGGAUUACUCGCGGUGAUCAUGCAAAUUCUGAGAGCAAAGCUCAAAGUAUUAGAUCUUUCGUAUGGAAAUGGAACAGGUAUAAUUAAGCACAACUCUACUACACAUCUGGUACUGAAAUAUCUGUCUUCAUGUGAAUGUAAUUUUAGAAAUUAGUCAAUCCUAAAUGUAGAAUAUAAAUAAGGAUUGCUAAAAUAAAGUGAAGCCUAAGAAUACAAACUUCACGCCAUUGAAGUUUGGUACACUCAAUCUCUAUUAACAAUUUUAUUAUUUUUAAGUGAGUUAUGUCGGCAAGGAUAGGAAUGUCCUAUGGAGGCUUUAUGAGUGAUCUUUUUCACGCCAUAUUAAGUGAUCUCUUUAAACUGUAUAUUAGUCAAAAUUUGUAACUUGUGUGCACAAAAUGUUAGUUGUUAUUCA